GUCCUAGCUGUAAACGGUGCGCGUUUGCUGUAAGAGGAUUCGACCCCUCUUGUGGCGAAGCUAACGCGUUAAACGCGCCGCCUGGGAAGUACGGUCGCAAGAUUAAAACUCAAAGAAAUUGACGGGGCCUGCACAAGCGGUGGAGUAUGUGGCUCAAUUCGAUGCAACGCGAAGAACCUUACCUGGCCUUGACAUGCACGUAGUAGAAGGGUGAAAGCCUGACGAGGUAGCAAUACCAGCGUGCACAGGUGCUGCAUGGCUGUCGU
rnacentral:rRNA from 1 species